rnacentral:sRNA from 1 species
ACGAAUAUGUGGUAUGCUUUGCUUUCUUUU